rnacentral:miRNA from 1 species
CUAAGUACUAGAGCCGUAGGUG